rnacentral:rRNA from 1 species
UACGAAGGGGGCUAGCGUUGUUCGGAAUUACUGGGCGUAAAGCGCACGUAGGCGGACUGGAAAGUUGGGGGUGAAAGCCCAGGGCUCAACCCUGGAACUGCCUUCAAAACUCCCAGUCUUGAGGUCGAGAGAGGUGAGUGGAAUUCCGAGUGUAGAGGUGAAAUUCGUAGAUAUUCGGAGGAACACCAGUGGCGAAGGCGGCUCACUGGCUCGAUACUGACGCUGAGGUGCGAAAGCGUGGGGAGCAAACAGG